CUUCUGUUUAAGCCAUUCUGAUGUUGAUUUACUUCUAUGCUUUGGGUCAUUGUCCUGUUGCAACAUCCAUCUUCUGUUGAGCUUCAGCUGGUAGACAGAUGGCCUUAAGUUCUCCUGCAAAAUGUCUUGAUAAACUUGGGAAUUCAUUUUUCCUUCGAUGAUAGCAAUCCGUCCAGGCCCUGAUGCAGCAAAGCAGCCCCAAGCCAUGAUGCCCCCACCACCAUACUUUACAGUUGGGAUGAGGUUUUGAUGUUGGUGUGCUGUGCUUUUUUUUUCGCCACACAUAGUGUUGUGUGUUUCUUCCAAACAACUCAACUUUGGUUUAAUCUGUCCACAGAAUAUUUUGC
rnacentral:lncRNA from 1 species